UACGGAGGGUGCAAGCAUUAAUCGGAAUUAUUGGGCGUAAAGGGCGCGUAGGCGGAUGGGUAAGUCAGAUGUGAAAUUCCGGGGCUCAACUUCGGAACGGCAUUUGAAACUACCUUUCUAGAGGAUUGGCGGAGAAAACGGAAUUCCACGUGUAGCGGUGAAAUGCGUGGAUAUGUGGAAGAACACCGGUGGCGAAAGCGGUUUUCUAGCUUAUUUCCUGACGCUGAGGCGCGAGAGCAAGGGGAGCAAA
rnacentral:rRNA from 1 species